rnacentral:rRNA from 1 species
UACGUAGGGUGCGAGCGUUGUCCGGAAUUAUUGGGCGUAAAGAGCUCGUAGGCGGCUUGUCGCGUCGGAUGUGAAAGCCCGGGGCUUAACUCCGGGUCUGCAUUCGAUACGGGCAGGCUAGAGUUCGGUAGGGGAGACUGGAAUUCCUGGUGUAGCGGUGGAAUGCGCAGAUAUCAGGAGGAACACCGAUGGCGAAGGCAGAUCUCUGGGCCGUAACUGACGCUGAGGAGCGAAAGCGUGGGGAGCGAACAGG